rnacentral:lncRNA from 1 species
CACAACUACCUACUGCUAGGUACAUGUAGUUCUGAGGAUCAUACAAAUUGUUGACACCUACUUUGUAUAUUGAAUAUCAUGGUUCUAUGCUCAGGAAUACUAGAAUUAUAUACAAAAAACAAAAAAACAUAAAAAAAUACUGUUGACCAGUGUUUAUAGUAAUCGAGACCAUCUUGGACCAUCCCCUUAUUAAAAAGCACAACUUUAUAUAAUGGUUUACAUUAUGCCAUAAUUCCAUAAAGAUGAAUGUGUCUAUCCUUUUCCGAGAAUUUGUCGGGACAAUAAAAUUAUGGGGAAAAAGAAAAGAAAAAGAAAAAAAAAACAACCAAUAACAAUAUGCCCCCUCGACCUUUGAAAGGGAUAACAUAGAACGCCCUAUAGCAGAUGCAAGGUUAUUAAACAAUAGGGGAUCAUAUAGACAGAACAGGGGAUCCUAUAGAACGCACUAUAGAAUAUGCGCGAUUAUUAAACAAAAGGGGAUCAUAUAGACCGCCAAGGUAUAAACAAUAGGGGAUCCUAUAGACAGACCCGGGGAUCCUAUAGAACGCACUAUAGAAUAUGCGCGAUUAUUAAACAAAAGGGGAUCCUAUAGACCGCCCAGGGGAUCGUAUAGAACAACCUGUUAUAGAUACAUGAUGAACAACCAACAGGGGAUCCUAUAGACAGCCCAGGGGAUCGUAUAGAACAACCUGUUAUAGAUACAUUAUGAACAAACAACAGGGGAUCCUAUAGACCGCCCCGGGGAUCCUUUAGAACGCCCUAUAGCAGAUACACAAUUAUUAAACCACAAGGGAUCCUAAAGAACGCAUAUGGGAGCAUAUAUAUAACGCCCUCUAAUAGAUACAUGAUGAAACUACAGUGCUCCUAUAGACCGACCCUGGGGUUUUAUGGAACACCCUCUAGAAGAAACAUGUUGAACAAACAACAGGGAUCAUAUUCACCGACCUUGGGAUCCUAUAGAACAACCUGUUAUAGAUACAUGAUGCACAACCAACAGGGGAUCCUAUAGACCGCCCCGGAGAACCUAUAGAACGCCCUAUAGCAGACACGAUUAUAACACAACAGGGGAUCCCAUAGAACGCUCUUUAGUAGAUAAAUCUAGUGAAUACAUGAUAACCAAACAAUGGGAUCCUAUAGAACGCCCUAUACAGAUAAACAACUAUUAAACCACAGGGGAUCAUAUCGACCGCCCAUGGGAGCAUAUAUAUAACGCCCUCUAAUAGAUACAUGAUGAAAAAACUAAAGAGCUCCUAUAGACCGACCCUGGGAUUUUAUGGAACACCCUCUAGAAGAAACAUGUUGAACAAACAACAUGCAGAGGAUCCUAUGGACCGACCCGGGGAUCCCAAAGAAUUCCACUUAACAGAUGUGCGAUUAUGAAACAAUACGGGGUCCUAUAGACCGCCCAGGGGAUCCUAUAGAACAACAUGUUAUAGAUUCAUGAUUAACAACCAACAGGGGAUCCUAUAGACCGCCCCGGGGAACCUAUAGAACGCCCUAUAGCAGAUGCACGAUUAUAACACAACAGGUGAUCCUAUAGACCCAACAGGUGAUCCCAUAUAACGCUCUCUAGUAGAUAAAUCUAGUGAAUACAUGAUAACCAAACAAUGGGAUCCUAAAGACCGCCCUGGGGAUCCUAUAGAACGCCCUAUACAGAUACACAACUAUUUAACCACAGGGGAUCAGAUCGACCGCCCAUGGGAGCAUAUAUAUAACGCCCUCUAAUAUAUACAUGAAAAACAAACAACAGUCUAACCUAUAGAACGUCCCAUAGUAGAUAUAUAAUAUUCAAACAACAGGGGAUCCUGUACAGCGUCCUUUAGUAGAUAUAUAAUGGUCAGACAACAGGGGAUCCUGUAGACCGCC